UAUAUCACAUUUCAGUGAUAAAAUAAAACACUUGAUAUAAAGAUAAAGGUGAAACAGCAACGUUAGGUUAUAGUCAGAAAACUGGAGCUCUCAAAAUUUCUUGAUGCAUCUUCUUGGUGGCCUCCACAAUCUCCAAGACCGGCUUCUCUCUCUGAACAAAUACAAAUUCAUUCCUCCCUUUCCAUAUUCCCCAGCAUAAAAGAGCAAUAUACUCCAUCUUCCCUCUUCCGUCACUCCUUGUUCUAGCAGCUUCAAGUCUUCUACUCCACCACUCAGCAAAAUUCGGUUGAACCAGCUCACGAACAUCUAAGUUCAUAGGGGGCAGUACCACGCUGGUGCCGAUUCGGGACAGGACAGGAGGCAGUGCAAGAUGGUUUCCUCAGCAACUUGGCAUCUUGAACAAAUUGGUGAGGGUGAUUGGAAUCUUCAGUGAAUUAGUUCCACAACUGGUAACCUUUUGUGAAUGGCUCGCCAAAUAAAGAAGAGGACUUUUGAAGGUACCUUCACCCCCACAGACUUUUAUUUUUCAUAAUUUGGGGGCACAAAAAAACAGGGAGAUGCCGAAGCCCAUAUGCUAUUUGAUAACCAAAAGAAACCUCAUACGCUUCGCUUUUAGUCACCACUUGAGCUUUGAAUCGAUGUGUUCAAAAUACUAGCAGCAAUACUUGGAGGGAAUGAACUUUCUAUUAAUUGUUGAUUUCAUCUUCUCCCUUCUGAAAACAGGUCCUUUACCCAAUAUAGAUUUCGGUUGUGGUUGUUUGGCAAAUUAAUUGUGAAUGGAUAUAGAGAUUGCAACCAUGGGUCAGUAAAAAUACGUACACUGUCCCCAGAUCCUAUCUUCCACCUCAGUCCCUUUUUUAUUACUGUUCUUCCUACUCAAUAGACUCUGCCAACCCCAAGAAGAUUGGUUUUUUUUGUCUGCAUUCAUCAAAGAAGAGUAGCGGAAGUACUUGCCUUUCAACUUUGCCAGGAGAGAUCGAGGUCUGUUAACUAUGCGCCAACACUGUUUUCCCAGUAAUGCCAAGUUUUGUGCUCUCAACUCUUUAAAUCCAAGCCAUUUUUCUCUCCUACCCCCUUUGACCCAACCAAAAUUGAGUGAGUAUUCUGUGAACAUCAUUCAACAAAGUAUUGGGUUUAAAACAAUAUAGCGUACAAAUCAGAACCGCUUCACCUACAGCUUUAAUCAGUACAUGUCCCCCCCGGUGGAGCAAGUUCCUCUUCCAAUAUUGCACCUUCUUUUGGACUUUUGUUUUGAUGUCACUGAAGGUAGUUUUCUUAGAGCGAUGGACCACCGAUGGGAAUGCCAGGUAAUUUCACUUUUUGCCUGCUUAUACUUUCAUAAUUCUUGAGCAAUGAGAGGAUAUUCUGGCAAUGUUCUGGCAAUACCUUACCAAAGAGAAUUGAGUCAUCUGCAAAUACAGCAAGCGUUGCUUGAUUCUCUAGCAUGGUGAACUCUUUAUGGACAACAUUCCACAAAUAUUGUGCUUGUAGAAAGAUUUUCAUUUGAGAAUGUAGUCCUCAUAAUUCUCUUUAGACAAUAUGGGCACAAAAAUAUUUAUAGUUGAGAUAAUCAUGGUUAUGGAAAAAUUUAUUGGAGUGGGUUAUAAUGUGGUGGAUAUGUAUAAUUAAUAGGUUAAGAAGAAAGAUUUUACACCCAA